rnacentral:lncRNA from 1 species
CAAGACCCUCAGUGUAGCUGCACCUCCAACACCUUCCUGCUGGCCCACGCUAUAGCGCAGGCAGCGCUGAGCCAGGCCGGGCCAGGCACUGACGCCCAGUCAAUGUGUUCUGGGCGCAUAAGCAAACUGAGCAAUGAGAAAGCCCAUCUCCAACAGGGCUGCUCCCCACAACAGACCUCUCAUCUGGAGCCAAGGGGAGAGAAGAGGAGGAGGAAGACCACAGAUGGACCCAAAGCACUGCACACUGGGUGGUUCUGGGCCCGGACAGGCCAGUAACAAAAAGCAGCAGAAAGAAGGAUACUUUCCAACAAAGCAAGGAGAGUUCAGGAAGAAAGCACAGAUUCUAAUCUGUGUGGCCACAAGAGAACACAUGGUAGAAUCCCUUCCAGCAAAGCCGCCUGCUCUCCCCUGACUGCUUUCCCUUUCUGAGAUGAGUUUUCCUUCCCUGGCCAGGGCUGGGAGGCCGUGCUCCUCCUGGCAGGGGCUCAGGCCACACCUCUUGGAAGAGCAGCUCAGCUGACCUUGGGCCCACAUGUCCUGGAACCAACUCUGAAGCCAACACCAGGCAGUCCCACCCUGAGAAGGGACCAAGCACAGAGGCGGCCACUGCAGCCAACUGCACAGCUGGACCCGGGUAGGGCUCCUCCCUCGGGACCUCCAGAUGGCUCCUCACCCUUGAGGUCCCUUCUUUUUGGUCAGAGCUACUCUAGUCGCACCCACUCAGUCGUGAACUGGAGCAGCAGCCAGAGAGAGAGUAAGACAAUGGUGAAUGAGAAGAGGCCAGGUGACAGGAACCUGCAAGCUCAUCCAUCCACAAACAUCCACUGAGCACCUGCCACGGGCUGGGCCCCGUGCAUUCAACAACAAAAUGAACUAAACUGAGCUUCCAGCAGUGAUGGGACCCACUCAGCAUCGCCAUUCUGCACAGCCUAUCCGCAGCCCCUCUCCGAUAACCCACCAUCAUUUCCCACCAAACAAAUGAAGAAAGAGUGCGGCCUUCAGUUCAGGUUUGAAAAAUCCCUCCUUAUAAACUCAUGUCUCUGAUUCUAUUUCCCCAUGUGGCUAAACCUUCAAAGAAAGUCACACAGAUACAAGGAACCUGAAGAUCACCAUCAAAAAGUAAAAAAUAAUCAUGAUAACAGUAUUAAAUAGAAAAGCAGCUUCCAAUCUGUAAUCAGAAACAAACUGCUCAACACAGGAAAAUGUUUUAGAAUCUGCUGCUCUGUGUAAAAAUUAAUUGCACCCUGGUAUUUACUUGCUGUCCAGAUUGUAAAUCAUGUUUUCCUGUUUACUUCAAUUAGACUUUACAGUGGGUGUUACUGAAAU